rnacentral:rRNA from 1 species
GAUGAACGCUGGCGGCGUGCUUAACACAUGCAAGUCGAACGAUGAAGCCCAGCUUGCUGGGUGGAUUAGUGGCGAACGGGUGAGUAACACGUGAGUAACCUGCCCUUAACUCUGGGAUAAGCCUGGGAAACUGGGUCUAAUACCGGAUAGGAGCGUCCACCGCAUGGUGGGUGUUGGAAAGAUUUAUCGGUUUUGGAUGGACUCGCGGCCUAUCAGCUUGUUGGUGGGGUAAUGGCUCACCAAGGCGACGACGGGUAGCCGGCCUGAGAGGGUGACCGGCCACACUGGGACUGAGACACGGCCCAGACUCCUACGGGAGGCAGCAGUGGGGAAUAUUGCACAAUGGGCGCAAGCCUGAUGCAGCGACGCCGCGUGAGGGAUGACGGCCUUCGGGUUGUAAACCUCUUUCAGUAGGGAAGAAGCGAGAGUGACGGUACCUGCAGAAGAAGCACCGGCUAACUACGUG